AUUGAACGCUGGCGGCAUGCCUUACACAUGCAAGUCGAACGGCAGCAUGGAGAGCUUGCUCUCUGAUGGCGAGUGGCGAACGGGUGAGUAAUGCAUCGGAACGUACCGUGUAAUGGGGGAUAACAUAGCGAAAGUUACGCUAAUACCGCAUACGACCUGAGGGUGAAAGCAGGGGACCGCAAGACCUUGCGUUAUACGAGCGGCCGAUGUCAGAUUAGCUAGUUGGUGAGGUAAAGGCUCACCAAGGCGACGAUCUGUAGCGGGUCUGAGAGGAUGAUCCGCCACACUGGGACUGAGACACGGCCCAGACUCCUACGGGAGGCAGCAGUGGGGAAUUUUGGACAAUGGGGGCAACCCUGAUCCAGCCAUGCCGCGUGAGUGAAGAAGGCCUUCGGGUUGUAAAGCUCUUUCGGCCGGGAAGAAAUCGCACAGGCUAAUACUCUGUGUGGAUGACGGUACCGGCAUAAGAAGCACCGGCUAACUACGUGCCAGCCGCCGCUGUAA
rnacentral:rRNA from 1 species